CAUAUCAAAAGCGGAGGAAAAGAAACCAACAGGGAUUGCCCUAGUAACGGCGAGUGAAGCGGCAACAGCUCAAAUUUGAAAGCUGGCUCCGGCCCGCAUUGUAAUUUGCAGAGGAUGCUUCUGGUGAGGUGCCUUCCGAGUUCCCUGGAACGGGACGCCAUAGAGGGUGAGAGCCCCGUAUGGAUGGACACCAAACCUGUGUGAAGCUCCUUCAACGAGUCGAGUAGUUUGGGAAUGCUGCUCUAAAUGGGAGGUAAAUCUCUUCUAAAGCUAAAUACCGGCCAGAGACCGAUAGCGCACAAGUAGAGUGAUCGAAAGAUGAAAAGCACCUUGAAAAGGGGGUUAAACAGUACGUGAAAUUGUUGAAAGGGAAGCGCUUGUGACCAGACUUGCGCCGGGCAGCUCAUCAGGGGUUCUCCCCUGUGCACUCUGCCCGGCUCAGGCCAGCAUCGGUUCUCGUGGGAGGAUAAGAACGGUAGGAACGUGGCCCCCUUCCGGGGGGGUGUUAUAGCCUACCGUACGAUACUCCCGUGGGGACCGAGGUUCGCGCUCCGCAAGGAUGCUGGCGUAAUGGUCAUCAGCGACCCGUCUUG
rnacentral:rRNA from 1 species